rnacentral:rRNA from 1 species
GACGAACGCUGGCGGCGUGCUUAACACAUGCAAGUCGAACGAAGAGCGAUGGAAGCUUGCUUCUAUCAAUCUUAGUGGCGAACGGGUGAGUAACGCGUAAUCAACCUGCCCUUCAGAGGGGGACAACAGUUGGAAACGACUGCUAAUACCGCAUACGAUCCAAUCUCGGCAUCGGGACUGGAUGAAAGGUGGCCUCUAUUUAUAAGCUAUCACUGAAGGAGGGGAUUGCGUCUGAUUAGCUAGUUGGAGGGGUAACGGCCCACCAAGGCGAUGAUCAGUAGCCGGUCUGAGAGGAUGAACGGCCACAUUGGGACUGAGACACGGCCCAGACUCCUACGGGAGGCAGCAGUGGGGAAUCUUCCGCAAUGGACGAAAGUCUGACGGAGCAACGCCGCGUGAGUGAUGACGGCCUUCGGGUUGUAAAGCUCUGUUAAUCGGGACGAAUGGUUCUUGUGCGAAUAGUGCAAGGAUUUGACGGUACCGGAAGAGAAAGCCACGGCUAACUACGUG